CGGUAGGUAGGGCCGGGGAGCUAGCCCUUCCCUGUAACCCGAGACGGGCUACAUGCGGGGGCCAGAUAACCUGAAAGAGCAUAGGAGAAGCAGAAGUACAACGCAUAAGAAAUGAAUGAGUGUGCGUCCACGUGGAGCUCCGUAAGAGGCUGCCCCACUCGUAGGAGUGGGCUCCAGCUUCCUAACGCAUCGAACCGUGUUAGGUCCGGGAGGGAGCAGCACUAAGAUGCGGCGGGGCUGCUGCGUGGUAACGUGCAGGACACUAUCUUAUGCGUCGAGGCUUCUGCUUCUCCUAUCAUCUUUCGGGGGCUGCCG
rnacentral:SRP_RNA from 1 species